CAUUAUCCUUUGGAGCUGUAUCUAUUUUUUAAGGCUGCCAUAACAAAAGCACCACAGGGUGAAUGGCUUAAACAACAGAAAUUUAUUUUUUCACAGGUCUGGAGGCUAAAACUCCAAGAUCAAGAUGUCUACAAGGUAUUAGGCUCCUGUUCAUGGCCAUAGAAUGUUCACUGACCAACAGUUUAGUUCUACAAUGCAGCUGCUCUGGCCAGGCACAGAGAAGGCUGAGUUUCAACCCAAGAAGUUACCUGGUCUUUAGACGCUCCCAAUGUACAUCAGCUAAAAGAAACCUGUAUCCUUUCUUUGCAUCACUUAUAUUAUUUGGAUAGCACAGAAAUCUAUUGAUAAAGUUCACCCACAAAAACACAUUUAACAUGUAAUCAGUGGC